CACACAGGUGCUGCAUGGCUGUCGUCAGCUCGUGUCGUGAGAUGUUGGGUUAAGUCCCGCAACGAGCGCAACCCUCAUCCUUAGUUGCCAUCAUUAAGUUGGGCACUCUAAGGAAACUGCCGGUGAUAAGCCGGAGGAAGGUGGGGAUGACGUCAAGUCUUCAUGGCCCUUACGGCCUGGGCUACACACGUGCUACAAUGGCGGUGACAGAGAGUCGCGACCCUGCAAGGGGUAGCUAAUCUCCAAAAGCCGUCUCAGUUCGGAUUGUACUCUGCAACUCGAGUGCAUGAAGCUGGAAUCGCUAGUAAUCGCGCAUCAGCUCGGCGCGGUGAAUACGUUCCCGGGUCUUGUACACACCG
rnacentral:rRNA from 1 species